CCUACGGGGGGCAGCAGUGGGGAAUAUUGGGCAAUGGGCGCAAGCCUGACCCAGCAACGCCGCGUGAAGGAAGAAGGCUUCCGGGUUGUAAACUUCUUUUCUCAGGGACGAAGCAAGAGACGGUACCUGAGGAAGAAGCCACGGCUAACUACGUGCCAGCACCCGCGGCAAUACGUAGGUGGCAAGCGUUAUCCGGAUUCACUGGGUGUAAAGGGCGUGUAGGGGGGAAAGCAAGUCAGAUGUGAAAACCACGGGCUCAACCUGUGGCCUGCAUUUGAAACUGUUUUUCUUGAGUACUGGAGAGGCAGACGGAAUGCCUAGUGUAGCGGUGAAAUGCGUAGAUAUUAGGAGGAACACCAGUGGCGAAGGCGGUCUGCUGGACAGCAACUGACGCUGAGGCGCGAAAGCGUGGGGAGCAAACAGGAUUAGAUACCCUUGUAGUC
rnacentral:rRNA from 1 species